rnacentral:lncRNA from 1 species
UAUCUAAAUUUUCUUAUUUUCUUACAUUCUUGCAUCUAAUUUCUACACUUAGCUUAAAUCACUUACUACACAUAACUUGCUUAUUAUUACUUAAUCCUUAUGGUUCUAAAUUUAACUUCAAAAUUUUAAAAAUCUAAUUCACCCCCCUUCUUGGGUUGCAUAGCUGGACAACACCAGGUAAGUGAGAUCGGUGAGAGAGAUAUGCCAUUAACUCGUCAUAGACUCAACUAUACGAGUAGCUCCCAAUUAAUGACCACCGAUCAAGACUGCCAAACUUACCUUAGACACCA